rnacentral:lncRNA from 1 species
AAAUUGAACUCCUCUUCUCCUUUCAAUUAACCUAUAUCGUUCAUCUUCCAUCUCUGCUCCUCUAACCUUCAUCUCUGCGAGUGUCCUCGAUGGUUCUCCAGUCUGUUGCUCUUCUUCCUCCGUCUUUGCCCAAAGAAGAGGGGGUUCGGUUAAAUCAUUCGACUCAAAAUGUUAAAUUUGUCUCACUGAAUUAAGUGGUGAAAUUAAAACGAUGUUUUUGGUGGAUUGGUUUUAUAGGGUUCUAGCAUCGUUUGGGCAAUCACGGAAAGAGGCUAAGCUCUUAUUCUAACAUUUGAGUCUGGCUACUCACGUGUAUUCUGAAGAAAAUUGGUUAUGGCAGGCACUGAUGAUCAAAUGGGUUUCUCAGUAGUAAUAGAUAGUUUGACAUCUCAAUUCUAUAAAAUUUGUUUAUGUAAUUAUGAAUUGGAGGAGGUGUUGUUGGUUCGAAAUUGCAGAGUAUUUAAAUUUUUGUUUAUAAAAAAAGCUAAAGAAGAAUUAAUUAUGAAAAGA